rnacentral:rRNA from 1 species
UGCACUGGUCAAUCUAGUGGCGAACGGGUGAGUAACACGUGGGUAACCUGCCCAUCAGAGGGGGAUAACAUUCGGAAACGGAUGCUAAAACCGCAUAGGUCUUCGAACCGCAUGGUUUGAAGAGGAAAAGAGGCGCAAGCUUCUGCUGAUGGAUGGACCCGCGGUGCAUUAGCUAGUUGGUGAGGUAACGGCUCACCAAGGCCGUGAUGCAUAGCCGACCUGAGAGGGUGAUCGGCCACAUUGGGACUGAGACACGGCCCAAACUCCUACGGGAGGCAGCAGUAGGGAAUCUUCCGCAAUGGACGCAAGUCUGACGGAGCAACGCCGCGUGAGUGAAGAAGGUUUUCGGAUCGUAAAACUCUGUUGUUAGAGAAGAACAAGUGCUAGAGUAACUGUUAGCGCCUUGACGGUAUCUAACCAGAAAGCCACGGCUAACUACGUGCCAGCAGCCGCGGUAAUACGUAGGUGGCAAGCGUUGUCCGGAUUUAUUGGGCGUAAAGCGAGCGCAGGCGGUUCCUUAAGUCCACUGUUAAACCUUGAGGCUCAACCUCAAUUCAGCAUUGGAAACUGGGAAACUUGAGUAUAGUAGGGGUAGAGGGAAUUUCCAGUGGAGCGGUGAAAUGCGUAGAUAUUGGAAAGAACACCGAUGGCGAAGGCACUCUACUGGGCUAUUACUGACACUCAGAGACGAAAGCUAGGGGAGCAAAUGGGAUUAGAUACCCCAGUAGUCCUAGCCGUAAACGAUGGAUACUCGAUGUUGGGCGUAUCGACCCGUCCAGUGUCUUAGCUAACGCGUUAAGUA